CAAUAGCGUAUAUUUAAGUUGUUGCAGUUAAAAAGCUCGUAGUUGGAUUUCGGUUGAGAACGGCCGGUCCGCCGUUAGGUGUGCACUGUUUGGUCUCAGCUUCCUGGUGAGGAGGUGUGCUUCACGGCCACUUAGUCACCGUGGUUACUUUGAAAAAAUUAGAGUGUUCAAAGCGGGCUUACGCUUGAAUAUAUUAGCAUGGAAUAACACCAUAGGACUCCUGUCCUAUUUCGUUGGUCUCGGGACGGGAGUAAUGAUUAAGAGGAACAGUUGGGGGCAUUCGUAUUUCAUUGUCAGAGGUGAAAUUCUUGGAUUUAUGAAAGACGAACUUCUGCGAAAGCAUUUGCCAAGGAUGUUUUCAUUGA
rnacentral:rRNA from 1 species